CCUUAACCUUAAAACGAUAUUAUUACUUACCAUACCAUUUUAAAUAUAAAUUUCAUAGUUAAAGUGCAGUGUUUUCCUUCUUAUUGAAAUAAAGGAGUCAAUUUAUAAAAUGGCCUAGGCAAAUCGUGACGUUACGGAAAUCUACUGUGCCCAAGGUAUUAUUAUCAACAUAUUGAAAUAUGAAUAAUUAUUUCCAUGAGAAUAAUAACAUAUAUCAAACUUCCUUUGACCAGUUCCUCAAAUUUCAUCAGAUAAGUUUACUGAAUAUGAAUGUACAAUGACUAUUUGGCGACAAUGAAAGUUGUACGCAAAGGUGCUUGGUAUGCCGGAAACAAAAUUGUCAACUAUCACUUUUUCUCACCUCCGAGCAACUUUGGGUACAGUGAAGCGUAUUAUGUAAAUUAAAUUCGCUACAAAAAUUACUAAACUAUUCAAUUCUAGCAGUUUGUGGUCUAUUUCAACCAGUUGAGAAUAAAUUAAAAUAACAUGCAUCCAUUUUAUAGUCCAAUCUCGCUGGUGGUUGAAAAUUAAAUUACAUCACUAAUAACCAUAAAUAUAUUACUUUAACUAUUAAAAUAAAUGAAAAUAUUUCUUAUUUAAUGUCCCUAUAUUAAUUCCAAGAGAGAAAGCUACGAUUCUGGACCAGAUAGAUAACCUAAUUGAGGAUCCUAACCAAGAACGAGAUUUUAAUCAGCCGGUCACCUGUCUUAAUAAUUACAAAUCGAAAAACAGAAAAAAUAAUACAAAAACUCCAAGAGUUUAUGUCACAAUUGGUAGUUAUUGAAAUUUUUUAGUGGACUUUUUAACUAAUUUACAUUGAAGUAAAAUCAUGACGUCAAGAGUGAUGUUUUCGCCGCGACCACAACGAUCGUAGUCGCUAUGUGGAACGUUCAAAAGAGUACUUCUGACGCCGUCAAUGCUUAGUGGAAUGCAGUGUAAUGAAAACGUGUCAUAACUGUCAAUGUCAGUUUUAUAAAAUUCAAUGCUUAAUAUCAAAUUAUCGUUUGUGUGAAAAUCACUUCCCAUCUCUUGACAAGGGUUGUCAUGAGUGACAUUCUCGCCACGACAACAAGAGUAUUUCAGGUUUGUUAAUAUUUACUUCCAAGUAUUCCAUAAUAUUUCUCAUACUUAUUUCAACAAUUUUAAAAUUUUUAUACCCUAAAAUGUAAAAAAUCUAACCUUGAUAUCAAUCCCCAUUAAUCAUUUUAAGAUUGUUAGCUAAAUUAAUAAAAGAUUCUACUUUUCUACUUUAUUUGAAACUAACAUUAGUAAUAUUCGGCAUCAACAUUCAACCACCUUAUUUUUCACAACUUCACUUAUAACCAUACAUUCGUACAACUAACAAGCCUUUAACAUUCAGAUCAAUAAUUUUAUAAAAACACAUAAAUAAUAUAUGUGUACCCUGUAUACAAAUACAGUAGUUUUCUACUCUUAUAAUUUCCGAGUUAAUACCAUGUAUUCCAUAAAUUAUUUAGUUCCAACGUUAUAAAAGAAAUAAAUAUUUUAUCAACAAAUAUUUGUGAGUCUAAGUAUUUUUAGAGUUCCUAAAUAAAGAUGUCAACAAUUCCAUGAAUUAAAAGUACUCUUAUUAUAUAUAACAAUAAAUAUACAUACUUUUUCAAAUAUUACAUGUUCAGAUUAACACAAUAUCUUUCAAGAUUAAUGGGAAUAUCUUAUAUAAAGUUUUUUCCACGACUGUAAUGUAAAAAUUGUCACUUUAUGGUGACAAUAUUGAUUAUUUAAAUAAUCAAAAAAAUUUUUUUGUAACCCUUGUUUUAGACCCAAUUUAUAAGAAUAAAAUUGCCAAAUGUAAAUAUUAGUUCACUUGAAAAAGACAAUAACAAUAUAAAAUAUUUAUUUUUAUUGUUUUUUAACUAAAUUUAAAAAUCUAUGCUUCUAAAUGUUCCUGAUUUUAGGUCUCUUCUGAUUAAAAUUAGUUUCUUUUUCAUCAUCAAAUGUACAUCUGUCUUUAAAAAAUUAUAAAAGAAACUAAGUUUAAAUCAGAAGAGACCUCAAAUCAAGAAUAUUUAGUAGCAUAAACAUAUCAAAAGGUCUAAGAAAUAAAAAAUUGAGGAAAUUUAAAAAUCUAUCUAUAAUUUCGAACUAAUCUUAUUAAAAUUUGACCAUUGAAUGGAUCCAUAGAUUUAUAACAGUGUUAACAGACAAAAAAGCCUUUUUUAUAG